rnacentral:tRNA from 2 species
GGCCCCGUGGUGUAGCGGCCAACAUGCCUCCUUGUCAAGGAGGAGAUCGCGGGUUCGAGUCCCGUCGGGGCCGCCA